rnacentral:misc_RNA from 1 species
UUACCAUGGCUGGAACUUCAUAGUUCUUGUCCAGUUUGCAGGUUUCAGUUACCUGCUGAUGAGUCCAAGUCCGAUUCUGAGAGGUCUCAGAUUAGCAUUCAGCAGAGGGAGAGCAAUGAUACUAAUGAUAACAAUAGUAGUAGCAGUGACAGUAGUAGUAAUAGUAGUAAUCAUCAUCACCGUCACCGUCAUCAUCAUCAUGGAAGUAACAUUGAAGAGAGAGAAGGGGAAGGACGAAAUGGAAAUGGGAGAAGGUUUUCAUUUCCCUGGCCUUUCAAUAGUUUGUUCUCAUCUUCCUCAGGAUCUCAAUCCAGUGGAAGCAAUUCAACCGCAACCUCAUCGUCCUCUUUGGCAAAUGCUCCUGGAAGUGCUGCUCAAACAGAUGAGAAUUGAGUGUGAUUUUCUUUAGUUGCCAUAUUAGCUUCUCUUUCUCCAAGUUACUUGAAUGUGUGUUGCCUUGUUU